AGGUAGCGGUGAGACCCGAGGGCUGUACUGACUCUGCGCGCGUUUCCUUCUUUUUUGUACUUUGUUUCUGAGUUAUUCGGUAAAGCUGAGAUAUGAACACAAUGUCACCUUUUCAGCUGUGCAGUAGCUGCUCUAGAGCUAGUUACAGUGUGACUGUGUUGAGGUGCGAUGGACCGGCGACCUGUCCAGGCGAUGGACUGGCGACCUGUCCAGGGUGUAUCCUGCCUUCCGCCCGAUGACUGCUGGGAUAGGCUCCAGUACCCCCCUGCGACCCUGACGGAGAAACGGCUUAGAAAAUGGAUGGAUCGAUGGAUGUGUUGAGGUGACUCCAGUGAGAAGGGGAGCAGCAACAGAUGGUGUUUGUGAUGAUAAUCACCAGCACCCCUCAUCAGAAUGCGUGCCUUACCAACACAGUUACCAUUCCCUAGGAAGACGAAGAAAAAAAAGCACAGGUAACCUAACAAGAUCAUUCCAACUACAGCCCAUCAGGGACUGGAAGAUAUCACUCUAUACAAGGCAUCAUUUUGCACACCGUCAGGCAGACUGAGUGAAGGCCUGAGCGGCGAUCAGUUAUUGAACUCAACUGCUCAGUGGCAUGAUUAAAAAUGCAAGGUAAGGAUCUGCCCUUCAGGAGCACGGCUAUCAAACACCUGCCUGUCAGCCGGCUAAUCUCCUCACCUCAUUGGCUUUGCAUGCCUGUUAAUAAUUCAGUAAGUGAAAGAUUAAUUGUUGCUCAUUCAAUUAUCUUUGUUACACCUCCAAACCCUCUUAGUAGGUACUUUUAUCAUUCAUGCAGUCCAGGAUUGAGAGACAAAACAGGCUCUAGACAGCAUCUGUCACAAACAACUUCCUCGCAGAAUCUGCAGGAAAGAAAAAAGUGAGUUAAUGAAGUUUUUUUUUUUCUUUUUAGUGAAGUUGAGGUGAAAAGAAACUGGAGCUGCAUCUGCUAGAGCCUGUCGCUCAAAAACCUCCCACACACACUUCACUCGGCGCAUCCGUCUGCAUAAUGGAGCAGCGCCAAGGUCACAGUUAUAACUAACCGUACAAGGCACUCAGGGAGAGACAUGCAACAGCAGAACCAUAAAAAUGUCAAAACACAUGAAAGUGUCAGUUGCAGGUUGCUCUCCAUUCGAGAACAUCUUUAAGGGCAAGGGAAAAAAAGAGUGUUUCACAUUUUGGGCUGAGUGAUGAAGACAGUCGCACCUUCUGAGAGUGACACUGGCUACAUGCUGCAAAAGCAUGGCCAGGUCAGGGAGAGACCGCGCCGUCCUUCUCAGCCACCCUGCUGCUGAUAAUGCCAUGAGCAGUGCACGGAUGUCAGCAUCACUGACAAGAACCUUGCAAAAUAAAAGUCAUUGUUUUUGUUAUUAAGUUUAAGUUAUUUUAUCACAGAUAUGUGUUCAUCUGAGCCAGAACUUUUUUGCUGAGUUCUUUUGUAUAUCUGAUUAGAUAACGGAAAAAGAACUGUGCUAAAUACAUCAACACAAGGAAAACCGCUGAAUAAAAAACAAUAGAUGAAUCCACAAAAUAAGUUGAUUGACGAGGGAGUCAAGAGAAGAAAAAACAUUUGGGAACACUUUACUGUAGGGCAGUAUUCAUAAGGCUACAUGGUACCUACAUAAGGUCAUCAUGACAACUGACAUAGAAUUACAUAACAUUAAUAAAGACUUUUUCCAAGGUAGUGUAAUAGUCAUGUAAUUUUAUGUUCAGGUUCAAACUGAAUCAUUGAAGGUAAUAAAUAUACUCUGAUUAAGCAUAUUUUGCUAAUUUAGCAAUAGCAAAAAAGAACAAUAUAAAUGGAAGAAAUAGUUAUUUUUAAAGCAUGUAAAAUGUAAUUAAUUCCUAUUGAGUACACAAGCUAGUGCCACUAACUGUCAGCUGACAGCCAUGAUAAAAAAAAUAUAUCUGCAUCUUCAGCAUUUCUAUUUUUGUUCAAAAUGACCUGCAUGGGUGUUGAAUGGUGGAAGUGCAUCUAGCUUGCACAUCAUUUUUACAUACAGUGACCUCCCAAACACAGCAGCACACUCAUUUCUGUAAACCCAUUGCUUUCUGCUGUUGGACGACGCUUCUGGGAUUUAGAGUAGCAAACUUCAUUUUCUUACACAGUUUGACAGCAUAAUCUAUUGAUGGGGAGAAACCUCCUUGCGCAGUAGGACUCUCUCUCUCUCUCUCUCUCUCUCUCUCUCUCUUUCUCUUUCUCCUUCUCUCUCUUCCUGUGACUCACCAACAGGCCACACAAAAUGACAUGGCAAAGGCCCUUCGGCAACUGAGGCUUUGGUCUAUAACUGUUGCAUAGGGAGAAAUAGCUCAUCUGUCUGCUCUCGCUAAUGACAGCAGGCAUAAGUGCUUUAUAGUUAUUCGUAGGACAUUAUUCAUUUAAAAUUCAUUUUAAUGAGCAGUGACACAUGUGUUGUCCCAUGAAAAGAUCUAAUAAAAUAUUUGCAGAAGAGUGUACUCACUUUUGUGAGAUAAUGUAUAUAAGUACGUGAAAGUCACACUUAUGAUAAAGCAUGGUGGCAAAUUCAUCAUUGUCUCCCACCAGCCAAGUUCCAGUUAGCUCCUAUAACACAGACCCAUUCAUGUCUCACCUACAAAUGCAUUCUUUUGUAGCAACCGUUGAUGACAUCUAAUAAAUUUAGGUUAGAGAUUACAGAACAUUAAGGGUCCUGUUUAAAUGCUAUGCUACUGUGCUGUAAUGGAGUACAGGCUUGUUCGGCAUGUUUCAGUCUGCCAGAUGUAUGUUUAUCAUAAAAAGAUAUUGUACACUGCACACACAAAAUAACAGAAUUGUAAGCUAUUACUGUACUGUGUCACUGUUUAUAUGCAGUUUACAGUUAGAACAAUUUAACAUUGUUCUUAUCUAUAUGCUUAUGACCA